rnacentral:ncRNA from 1 species
CCAAAUGCCAUGACAGGGAGGAGUACACAACUCCGGGAAGCACAGAGAGAAAGCGGUCGGUGCGAGCUUUCGUGAACGAAUUGUGGAAGUAGCCCCCGAGCAGUGAACCAAACCGUAUAUCCCGUCUGAUCCACAAGACCUGAACGGACAUGCCAAGUAGGCUUCAACGUCAGUUCCACGUUACAGGAACACAGUAUAUCAGUACUGACAAAGUGCAGAGCCAGACUCUGAAUACAGGUUGCAGAGCCAGACUCUGAAUACAGGUGGUACCGCGGAAACAUUUUCGCCCUGGGC